rnacentral:rRNA from 1 species
UACGGGGGGGCAAGGCGUUGUUCGGAAUUACUGGGCGUAAAGGGCUCGUAGGCGGCCAACUAAGUCGGAUGUGAAAUCCCCAGGCUUAACCUGGGAACUGCAUCCGAUACUGGAUGGCUUGAAUCCGGGAGAGGGAUGCAGAAUUCCAGGUGUAGCGGUGAAAUGCGUAGAUAUCUGGAGGAAUACCGGUGGCGAAGGCGGCAUCCUGGACCGGCAUUGACGCUGAUGAGCGAAAGCUAGGGGAGCAACGGGG